rnacentral:lncRNA from 1 species
CUGCUGGCUUGGGUCGCGUGGUUGUCCUUCACCAUCUGCCGUGUUGCGCGCUGAGGUGGCUGCUUCUGAGAAGCACGCGCCUCUGGCUGUACCUGGCAGGGAGCAGCCUGCCCUGUCUCACGCUGAUUGGCUCUCCUAAUUUUGGGUACAGGUCAGUUCACCGGGACCUGGAGGCCCAGAUUGCGAUCGUGACGGAGAACCAGGCCCUGCAGCAGCAGCUUCACCAGGAGCAAGAGCAGCUCUACCUGAGGUCAGGUGUGGUGUCCUCUGCCACCUUCGAGCAGCCGAGUCGCCAGGUGAAGCUGUGGGUGAAGAUGGUGACUCCACUGAUCAAGAACUUCUUCUGAGGACAGACAGGAAUGGCCUUGAUGAAGAUGACAGGCAUGGCCGGGGUCAGCUCUUUCAGCCGCGCUUCAGCGAUGACUCCAGUCUGGGUGUCCCAGCGAGCCCCUGCAGGGACAGUAUGGCUGAGGGUCAGGUGUGCUGCCAGUAAGUGAGGGAGGGGCUGGCAGGAAGGGUGGGGUCCUCACACUCCCCGCCCUCUGCAGAGCUGGGCUCUACCCCAAAAGGCUUCAGGCCAGCUGCCACGGCUGGAAGCAGAGGCCUUCGUAGGUGAUGGCCUGCAUGUUGUAACUACCCCGUCCCGCUGGGCUCAAGGAACAGCUCAGCUAAAGCCCUCGGGUUCCAUCCGUUUAAAUCUGUGGCAUUUUCAGAGCCUCAUCUGUCAGCCUUAAUGUCAGUGGCAGGAAGUCAUAACUCCAGCUAAAAAUUACAGAGUAAAGUUCCCUGAUUCUUAAUGUGUAAUGUCUGCCCUAUGUGUACAUACACAAUAUAAUUAUACAUCUGUGCAUAUAAAUAUUGCCUUUAACCAGACUGCUAUUAUUUCUACUCGCCCUAUUUAAUGGUGUUUUUAUUUCCUGUCUGAAAUCUCAAAAUAAACAAACAUGGAGAGCUU